rnacentral:lncRNA from 1 species
AAGUAAUAACAUAAAUAAAUACACAGGUUCAGUGCUAUGGGAUGCAAAUGUAUUUUAUUUGUUGCCAAAUUUAGCUAAAAAUUAAAUAGACCAUAUAAUAACAAAUAAAUAAUAAUAAUAAAAUAAAAAGAGAGGGAGGGGGAGGCGAUAGGAUAACAGACACACACACAUACAUAUAUUCACUCCGCCGUCGAAGGCCAAACCCUAAAUCCAUUUCCUCUGACCGCUUCUGCUUCUGCUUCUGCAGCUUUAAGAAAGAAAGGCAUUUGCUUUGUGAGUGUUGUCGAUAUCGAAACCCGAAUCUGAGAGACUUACCGAGUUCGAUCCGAGUGGUGCUCAGCUCGGAUUUAUCUCUGCCUUCCAGGCCUUCACCAUUUGCCUUAGCAGCUUCGAUACCAAGAUAGCUUGUGAAUGAACUCCACCCCACCCGCAGGCGCUGGGUUAUUUAGUUGUUGUAUCAUCAUGUUGAAAGAGAGAGAAAGAUGGGUUUGCUUUGGCCCUCUCAUUGUCUAAGAAGUGUGUGUGUACUGUACAUAUAGUUUCAAAAGUCUUGGCAAAGUCCAUACAAGGAGAGGGGGAGAGAGACUCAAAAACGAUGACAUUAGACUCUGUUUGUUGUUGUUAUUCCGUUUAUCUUUAGUGAUUGUAGUUCCACAAUCCAGACUAUAUGAUUUCAUCCCUCUGAUAAUUUUAUUUUAUUCUAAACGUUUUUUGGUAUUUUUUUGAAAAUGUAAUUCAGAUAUUUAAAAUUUCUGAUACCAAUUAUCUUACAUCGGAAGUUCCUUACAAAAACAUGAGUUAACAAUAUCGUUAACAGGAGAGGGGUCUUUAUUAUUUUCUUGUGAUGGACUCAGGGCGAGGCGAUCAAUAAUAAGAAGGAAAAAGUGGCGGUGGUGGUGGUGGCCCUCCAAAGCAAUCUCGUAGCAGCCAGCAGCAGCAGAGACAAGAUAGACUGCAAGAAAGAUUCAACAAACAUAUCUAUCAUCAACCCCUUUUAACUCUCGUACAAAUACAAUAACAAUGAACUGUCUUUUACCAGGAACAUAUCAUGUCUGAAAAUCCAGCAAAGAACCCACCAAUUGGUGGAAAGAUCCCUGGUCCCCAUCCAGGUCCUCCAAAUCCAGGUCCAGGCCCUCCUGGUCCGCCAGGCCCUCCAAAUCCAGGUCCGGGCCCUCCGGGUCCUCCGGGUCCCAUGAUAGGUCUUCAACAGUGUGGUUAAGAUGUGGAAGAAACCUCUAAUUCAGCAAGAGUCUUGUGUGAAUACAAGAACAGAGGAGGUGUGGGUUCUUAUUUUAUAGCAAAGUUUUUUGGUAGAAUGAAAUAUACUCUAUUCAAACAAACAGUUGAUGAAGGAGGAUAGAUAGCAACAAAGGUUCUCCAAGGCUAAUGGUUGAGCACGAGGGAGCUGCAACUACUUUUCCUCUCAUCUCCAUUCUCUCCACCAAAUGGUCAAAUCCGAAAACGUAACAAGAGGAGACGCAAACAAAGAUGAUGGAGACAGUGAUCCUGCUGUGGAUUCUUAGAUCUAGAAGCUGUGUGUGUUGGAGAUUAGAUUAGGUGGGGAAGAGAUCUUUAGGUUGUAAUAAAAAAAAGGAUGUCGUUCAAGAGUCUGAUACAGGAGAUGCGGGGAGAGCUUGGGAGUAUUUCGAGGAAAGGAUUCGGGUUUGGUAGAUCCAGGUCUCAGCGCGUGGUUCAGGACUCUUGUGUAGUCCCUGUGGAUGCUUUCAAGCAGAGCUGCUGGGCUACGAUGCCCCCUGAGCUCCUCAGGGAUGUCCUCGUGCGGAUCGAGGCUUCCGAAGACACUUGGCCCUCUAGGAAGAAUGUUGUUGCCUGCGCUGGUGUCUGCAGGAACUGGCGUGCUCUCGUCAAAGAGAUCGUCAAAGUUCCUCAACUUUCCUCCAAACUCACUUUCCCAAUCUCCCUCAAACAGCCCGGUCCCAGGGCAUCUUCUUCGCUUCUUCAGUGCUAUAUCAUCCGAAACCGCACCAAUCAAACUUACCAUCUCUACCUCGCCCUUAACCAAGGUCAAUUCAUAACACUUGCUUUGCUUUCUUUGUGAAUAAUAAUAACAACACUGAAGAGUUUGCUCUCUUUAUCUUCUUCAGCUUCUGCUUCUAAUGAUGAUGGAAAGUUCCUUCUUGCUGCCAAGAGGUUUCGGAGGCCAACUUGCACCGACUACAUCAUCUCCUUAAGCUCUGAUGAUGUCUCCAGAGGAAGCUCUUCCUACAUCGGAAAGCUUAGGUCUGUCUGUUUUUUUUAAAGUCAACUGCCUUCUCCUUUUUCAUAUAUUCUGACUUUCCUUUUUUGCAGGUCUAACUUUCUUGGGACCAAGUUCACUGUCUACGAUGCUCAGCCCACCAAUCCUGGAGCUCAGGUUACCAGAACCCGUUCAACCAGACUUCUCUCUUUGAAACAAGUUAGCCCCAGAGUUCCCUCUGGCAACUAUCCUGUCUCACAUAUCUCUUAUGAGCUUAACGUCUUGGGCUCCAGGUGAUUCUCCUUUCUUUUUUUAUUGAGAGAAGCAAAAAAAAGAUUGUUACUCUCUAACACUUGUUGUUGUACCAGAGGACCGAGGAGGAUGCAGUGUGUAAUGGAUGCCAUCCCUGCAUCAGCAGUAGAACCUGCAGGAACGGCUCCAACUCAGACCGAACUUGUCCACAGCAAUCUCGAUAUGUUCCCCUCAUUCUCCUUCUUCAGGUCUAAAUCAGUUCGUUCAGAGAGUCUCCCCCAGCCUGCUCAAAAGGAUGGGCUGCUUGUCCUCAAGAACAAAGCCCCCAGAUGGCACGAACAGCUCCAGUGCUGGUGCCUCAACUUCAAUGGGAGAGUCACUGUUGCUUCCGUCAAGAACUUCCAGCUCGUAGCUGCUCCUGAGAACGGACCUGCUGGACCUGAGCACGAGAACGUGAUUCUCCAGUUUGGGAAAGUCGGCAAAGAUGUGUUCACAAUGGAUUUCCAGUACCCUAUCUCUGCCUUCCAGGCCUUCACCAUUUGCCUUAGCAGCUUCGACACCAAGAUAGCUUGUGAAUGAACCCCACCCCACCCGCAGGCGCUGGGUUAUUUAGUUGUUGUAUCAUCAUGUUGAAAGAGAGAGAAAGAUGGGUUUGCUUUGGCCCUCUCAUUGUCUAAGAAGUGUGUGUGUACUGUACAUAUAGUUUCAAAAGUCUUGGCAAAGUCCAUACAAGGAGAGGGGGAGAGAGACUCAAAAACGAUGACAUUAGACUCUGUUUGUUGUUGUUAUUCCGUUUAUCUUUAGUGAUUGUAGUUCCACAAUCCAGACUAUAUGAUUUCAUCCCUCUGAUAAUUUUAUUUUAUUCUAAACGUUUUUUGGUAUUUUUUUGAAAAUGUAAUUCAGAUAUUUAAAAUUUCUGAUACCAAUUAUCUUACAUCGGAAGUUCCUUACAAAAACAUGAGUUAACAAUAUCGUUAACAGGAGAGGGGUCUUUAUUAUUUUCUUGUGAUGGACUCAGGGCGAGGCGAUCAAUAAUAAGAAGGAAAAAGUGGAGGUGGUGGUGGUGGCCCUCCAAAGCAAUCUCGUAGCAGCCAGCAGCAGCAGAGACAAGAUAGACUGCAAGAAAGAUUCAACAAACAUAUCUAUCAUCAACCCCUUUUAACUCUCGUACAAAUACA